UACAGAGGUCUCAAGCGUUGUUCGGAUUCAUUGGGCGUAAAGGGUGUGUAGGUGGCGCGCUAAGUCGGGUGUGAAAUUCGACGGCUUAACUCCGAAACUGCAUUCGAUACUGCGUGCUUGAGGAACUGGAGAGGAGACGUGGAAUUGAUGGUGAGCAGGUGAAAUGCGUAGAGUAUCGAUGAGGAAGACCAGUGGCGAAGGCGGGUCUCUGGA
rnacentral:rRNA from 1 species